rnacentral:rRNA from 1 species
GACGAACGCUGGCGGCGUGCUUAACACAUGCAAGUCGAACGGAAAGGCCCCUUUUGGGGUACUCGAGUGGCGGACGGGCGGGUAACACGUGAGUAACCUGCCCUUGACUUCGUGAGAACUUCAGUAAACUGGGGCUAAUACCGGAUAGAAAUCCUUUCUGCAUGCUGGGGGGUGGAAAGCUUCGGCGGGUUUGGGUGGACUCGCGGGUUAUCAGCUUGUUGGUGGGGGAGUGGCUUACCUAGGCAUUGUCGGGUAGCCGGCCUGGGGGGGGGACCGGCCACAUUGGGACUGAGAUACGGCCCAGACUCCUACGGGGGGCAGGAGUGGGGAAUAUUGCACCAAGGGCGGAAGGCUGAUGCAGGAACGCCGCGGGCGGGAUGACGGGCUUUGGGUUGUAAACCGCUUUCAGCAGGGGCGGAGCUUGUGGUGACGGUACCUGCAGAAGAAGCACCGGCUAACUACGUG